AAUGUGAUUCCAGCAGCUCCCAGCUGAGAUCCACAUCCAAAUCCCUGCGGCUCCGGGAGAAAAUAUUAACCCAUCAGUGCCCUUCCUCAGAAGCAGAAACACCAGGUCUACCAUUGUCUCACAUGUUUGAUAUAGGACUGCUGUCCACUGGGGUGACAAGGGUCUCUGGGUCACAGCAAAUGAGCUCAGGAGGGACCACGUGGUGACAAGGCUGGAUUCCAAAGAAGCCAGCAGAGGGUGGUCCCCAAGAAAGGAGGAAGUUCCAGGUUCCCUGCCCCACCCAAGGGAGGGUGGAGCUGAGCAGGAAGAGGAGAAGCUGCAGAAGAGACUGAGGAAGGAAGGAAGCAGGAUGGAGCCGAGACCUGGAGGAGGCGCGUGGAGCCUAGAGACAAUGUGAAGAAACUGCGCUUGUCUUUUGGUCGUGGACUGGGUGACACAGAUGUGGGUGAGACCCGUGGGGAGGUGACAAUGGCAGCUUUUAUCUUGAUGUUGAUUUUGCUCUUUUCCUUCUGGGCUUGUCUGGUUGUUUCUUUUCUGUGGGUCCCCACUGGAAGAUGCUUUAGACUUGUGGCAGGCUUUGGGGCCUUGUUCUGGGCCGAUCCCAUAUGGAUGGAGUUUUACCCACGAGGGGACGGGUAACUUUGGGUGCUUCAUUUAGAAACUAGACUCUUUGCCUUACCUGUAUUGUUUCCUAGUUUUAUUAAAGUUCCUUCCCAUUAAAGUCUCAUAUGUUUUGUGUUGAUGCGGCGGAUGGCAGAACCCCUGUAGAAUAGGCAGG